CCCUGUUGGAUCAGCUCGUUACUGCUGCGCCCGACUGCAUACAAGGGUUCAGUAUUAGCACAAUGUUUGGGUUUCAAAUACUGAAAAGAAUAAUUAAAAGCCCAAAGAAAAUAAGCAGUGUGAAAGGCAUCUGUAAAAAGAGAUAAAAUUUGGCUGGAAUCCUGCUCUGGUAAUACCUUCUCUGAAGUAAGCUCUGCACGGGACCCAUCCUUUCUUACCUCAGAAGCUGCUUGAAAUCUGAGACCCUCAUACUCGGCCUCUUGCUUCAGCUGUGUCUGCAUCCUGUCCUAUGCCUCAUCACUGUGCAAACAUCCCUGCAGAUCCUUCCAAUUGGAGUAAUCAGGAAAGAAGGAAAUAAUUUCAUGAUGAAGUAAACUGCAUGCAAACCAUAUGAAGGUGAAGACCGUGACCAGUGGCUGUUAACAGAUUCUCAAGAAAUGCACAGGGACCAAAGAUAACCAUGGAUUUCAGGAGAGAGUGCUGCAAUAACAAGUGUCUCAGUGUUCCAAGGGAACAUUUUCUAUAAGCCAUAAAAUAAUUUGUAAAUUUAGAAUAUGCAUUUCUUAUGAAUGUAAAUGCCUUUAACAGAAGAGAGGUAAUUAAUACCACGAGGGUACAGUCUCCAUCUAUCACCCAUUCCCUGACCCCAGUUAUCAAAAAUAAGCAGUCCAAAUCAUUGUAGAGAACAAAUCUUAGACAGCGAAUAGAGUGAAUAGCAGAUACUGAUCAUCCACCAUCCUACAGCUCCCAAACUUCUCUAUAAUUUUCCUACUGUCUGUGAAUCCUCGUAAUACGCUUCCAACAGUCUGGGGAAGUAUGUAUUUAGCUAUCUGUCUCUAGUACUCAUCAGUGGAAAUGGCAUAGAAUUUUGGUCUACCACAACAGUAAGCAAACACUGACAUUACAUCUGAAGAAAACACUCUUUUCACUAGAAGUGAAUAUAGUCAUUGCAAGAUCAAAUAGCCCCAAGACUCUUGCUUUCAUUUUCUCUGUCUUUUGCACUUCAAUAAUGAUGUAUUUCCAUCCUGAUGAUAUGUUCACAUAGUCUUUUCACCACAUCCUAAUGACUUUUCCUAAUCUUGUGCUGUGGUAUCUGUUGAUAGUCUCUCUAUCCAAGUCAUAACAUGACAUGAAGCUGAUAGACAGCAGGGCCAGAGGAGAGGUUUGCAACUGUGAGAGGUGGAAACAAAUAUCUGUGUUACUAAAGGGGAAUAAAACUGAAUGUCCCUGUUUUUAAUACAUAAAAUCACUUAGGUAGGGUUUUACUACCUUAAUUUGAUAAUAGUAUUUUGAACAAAGCAUUGCAGUCUAUUUCUCUUUUGAUGAGUGAGCUUAACUCCUUCAUGUCCUUGAACUGCCUACAAUUCACGCUUGUUUCUUGCAAAUCUUUCAACUUUUCUUCUUAGCCCAUGUCUUCAGUGUGAGAUCUCUACUACCCUAACAAUUAUUAACAAGAUAUAACACAAUAUGAUCAUUGUAUUGUGUAUCAGUACUAACUGAUGAGCUGAGUGCUUCCUAGUGGUCAUAAUUUAGAUUUCAGAAAUUUUAAUUAAUCAGAAGUGUGAAGUAUGUAGUAGAACUUUGUUCAGUCAUUAAUUUGUUACUGUUAUGGUUGUGGGAUUUUUUGCUGUGAUUGAUGCAUAUCCUGUAGACAUCUUACUCUGUAGAAAAACAUUUUGUCCAAACGACAAGAACACUUCUUUCUUUUUUUCUAUUUCCAUUCUUCAGAACAGUGAAGAGAGAAAAAAAAUGUCUCAUUAAGUAGUUUGCCAGUUUAAAAAAAAAAAAAAAAAAACUACUUUGGAAAAAUAAAACGUCAGUGAAAAACCCACUUGUAAAAAAAGUAUUUUUUGAAAGGAUGUUUUUUUCCACAUAUAUCUUUGUUCAGAGUGAAGGAACUGGCUUUUAAAUUGUUUAAAAUAUUGCAGUGAUUUGUUCUUCUCAACAAACAAAAAACAAUGCAGAUGAAGUAAAAUACAACAAAACCUUUAAACUGUUAAAAGGGAGGUAAGUAUAAGGCCAUUACAGGAAACACUUUGAGCUACAGUAGUGAAACAUCAAAACUGAGGUGUUCUAGGUGGUUACCUCAGCAAUCUAGACUAAUUUCCAGGUUUGUCAGGCUUCUUACAUGUUCCUGGAAAAUCAUUUAUUCAUAAAUCAAACUUAAUCUCAAUCUGCACUUUGUUAGAAAACUAAAGCAAGCCUUGCAUCGCCUUGACAUGUCCCCAUGCCAAAGGGCAUUUCAAUAGCACACCUGGCAAUCUAUGACGGAAUAUAAGGGUCAGUAUCAACCCUGGAGGAAGGAAUGCCUCUGAAGUGGAAUGAAGACAUUUCCUUGCAACACCAUCCAGCUAGCAAAUAAAAGAAUUACUACUGCUGAUUUGGACCUGAAAAUAAGUGUUACUUUUUAUUGAUAUUUCCUUCUUCUCAGGUCUACUGUACAUCCCAGCAUUAAGUCAAAACUUAACAGAAAAUAAACCUGUUAAUUUCUGAGAAUGAAUAAACAAAAGCUUUAUGAAACCGCAUUUCUUUCACAUCACAUAUUUGCAAUGUCACUGACUUAGUAUGUUUGUUGUCGUUGUUGUUGUUUUAAUG